rnacentral:rRNA from 1 species
GGGGAAUAUUGCACAAUGGGCGAAAGCCUGAUGCAGCAACGCCGCGUGAGUGAUGAAGGUCUUCGGAUUGUAAAGCUCUGUCUUUUGGGACGAUAAUGACGGUACCAAAGGAGGAAGCCACGGCUAACUACGUGCCAGCAGCCGCGGUAAUACGUAGGUGGCGAGCGUUGUCCGGAUUUACUGGGCGUAAAGGGUGCGUAGGCGGAUGUUUAAGUGAGAUGUGAAAUACCCGGGCUUAACUUGGGUGCUGCAUUUCAAACUGGAUAUCUAGAGUGCAGGAGAGGAGAAUGGAAUUCCUAGUGUAGCGGUGAAAUGCGUAGAGAUUAGGAAGAACACCAGUGGCGAAGGCGAUUCUCUGGACUGUAACUGACGCUGAGGCACGAAAGCGUGGGUAGCAAACAGGAUUAGAUACCCUGGUAGUCCACGCCGUAAACGAUGAGUACUAGGUGUAGGAGGUAUCGACCCCUUCUGUGCCGCAGUAAACACAUUAAGCACUCCGCCUGGGAAGUACGAUCGCAAGA